GAUGAACGCUAGCUACAGGCUUAACACAUGCAAGUCGAGGGGAAACGAUAGAGAAAGCUUGCUUUUUCUAGGCGUCGACCGGCGCACGGGUGAGUAACGCGUAUCCAACCUGCCCAUCACUUGGGGAUAACCUUGCGAAAGUAAGACUAAUACCCAAUGACGUCUCUAGAAGACAUCUGAAGGAGAUUAAAGAUUUAUCGGUGAUGGAUGGGGAUGCGUCUGAUUAGCUUGUUGGCGGGGUAACGGCCCACCAAGGCGACGAUCAGUAGGGGUUCUGAGAGGAAGGUCCCCCACAUUGGAACUGAGACACGGUCCAAACUCCUACGGGAGGCAGCAGUGAGGAAUAUUGGUCAAUGGACGAGAGUCUGAACCAGCCAAGUAGCGUGAAGGAUGAAGGUCCUACGGAUUGUAAACUUCUUUAUAAGGGAAUAAACCUCCACGUGUGGGAGCUUGUAUGUACCUUAUGAAUAAGCAUCGGCUAACUCCGUG
rnacentral:rRNA from 1 species